GACAGAGGGGGCAAGCGUUGCUCGGAAUUACUGGGCGUAAAGGGCGCGUAGGCGGAAUGGCAAGUCGGUCGUGAAAUCUUUCGGCUCAACCGAAGAACGUCGAUCGAAACUGCCGUUCUUGAGGAUUGCAGAGGAGACUGGAAUUCCCGGUGUAGCGGUGAAAUGUGUAGAGAUCGGGAGGAACACCGGUGGCGAAGGCGGGUCUCUGGGCAAUUCCUGACGCUGAGGCGCGAAAGCGUGGGGAGCAAACGGG
rnacentral:rRNA from 1 species